GGCACCAUAGCCAAGUGGUAAGGCAGAGGUCUGCAAAACCUUUAUUCCCCAGUCCGAGUCUGGGUGGUGCCUCCA
rnacentral:tRNA from 1 species